UUGUGCAUGUGUGUGAUAUACAGGUUUGAGUAGGUUUGAGUCAAUUCCACGCUGAAAGACAAAAACAAAAAAGGAAAAAAAAAAGUUCAAUCACUAAGUAUGGAGCCUUUGUCAGGAAUGUUCAAAUAUGCAACUCCACAGCUCAAUGUCUGUAUUUUUAAAACUUGAAUUGUGGAAUUUAUUUAAGCAUCUUCCAAUCUAUUCAUUCUGUAUGGUGGAUGUACACCACAAAACACACCUACAAGCUACAUAGCGCAGAGCAAGAAAAAAAUGUCCAUAGAGCAUUGAAAAGCACUCCUUAUCUAGCAUGACUUUCAAAAAGACACCUUUACAUUCAGUGUUUGUAAUGCCCUGUCUGUCGAGCACUGUGCUGAGCGCUCGGUGAUUCUCAUGGCAGCAUGGAAAAGCUGCAUUGAUCGAGCCUGGCCCUGGAUGAGUGCCUCCAGUUCAGGUUUUUGUUGCACUGCUAGAAGUGCUUGCACAGCUGUUUAAAUGUUAAUUUGUUUGAUUUUUAGAAAAGAAGCAUUUGUGUGUGACGCAUCAUGGCAGCAAACGCAUCCUGAGUUCAGAAGAUUGUAUCUUUACACACAGAUACAGAUAUUGCUUCAGAGAUCCAUCGCACCUUAGUCUGGGAUGUCUCAGCUGUGUAAAUCUGUUGGAAAUUGGACACCACAAUACUUUGUCUAGUACAUUUCUCACAUGUGGCCAGUUAAGGAGAAGUACAGAAGAUACAAGAAGAGUAAUUUGAAGAGCUCCACUUUAGGAAUACAAACGGGGGUUGUGAGAAGUCAGAGGCCAUCCCAGCAGCAUUAGGUAACUGGCAGGAAGCCUGCCACAGACCACAAGCACAUCCGAGUCACCUGUUGCCCUUGGCAUUGCCCAGGAAGUAAUUUGAACCCAAGACUCUUGCAGUGUUGAGGGUUUUCUGGAGGUUCAGCUCAUCUCAGCAGCAGAAGGCACAAGGCAGGAAUCAACACUUGACGGGAUGCCAGGCUAUAGCUGCGAGCGCACAUUUACGGAGAGAGCUAAAGUUUCUAUGUUACACAUUAAGUGAACAGUUCUUUUGGCUCCCAAUUUACGAAGCCCCCUGAAGCUAUUGGAUUUUCUUCCUUUUCACAUUAAGGAACGAGAAGAUGAGUGCAAAUUAAAAUGGAAUCGAGAGCCUUGAGAGUCGAGCAUCCAGAGUGAAAGAGCAGGACUGAGCUUCAAGUGUGAGCACUGGCAAUGAAAAUUUUAAAAAGAAGAAAUGGAGCCUUUCUUGCUAAUUACAGAUUUGCAAAACAACCUAUCCUGCCGAAUCUGCCAGCCCUGCUAUCAUCACACCGGCAAACGAUGGCGGAGUAGACCAGACGCUCCUGACCUCUGACCUGCUGAUGCAGGAGCCGGCUGGUUUGAGCCAGAUUUGCAGUGGUCUACCGAUGUGGAUGGAAACAAACUUUGACAAGAAGUGUGCAGCUGUGGUGUAGCGGGUCCACAGCGUCCUCAGUAAGGGCCUAUUUUAAAUAAACAAUCAACGCUCUAGCGGCGGCUUGACGAGGUGGCGUUGGGCUAUGGCAAGCCACGGGAUUAUCAGCGGUGUGGGCGUUUCUCGCCAAGUGUGCAGGUGAGGAACUGUCCACAUCCGUGAUUAUUUCCGUGGCUAAUUUGUUACAGCUGCUAUGGUCCCUUGCAUUAUAAAAAAGGAAGUGCGAGUCGGUUAAGGGGAGAUCAGAAAAAAACGAAAGGAAAGAGGACGGAGGUUACCGGGAGCAGGAGGGGAAGCAGGUUGGUGAGAGAGAGAGCCGCGAAGAGCGAGCGGGCGGGCGAGCGAAUGAGCACUCACUGGCAGCUGCGGGGCCUGGGGUGUUGGGCCUACACCCAGGCGUUUCAGUUGGAUGUCGCUACCGCUGAG